rnacentral:rRNA from 1 species
UACGAGGGGGGCAAGCGUUGUUCGGAAUUAUUGGGCGUAAAGGGCGCGUAGGCGGUGCGGUAAGUCACCUGUGAAAAACUCUGGGCUCAACUCAGAGCCUGCAGGCGAAACUGCCGUGCUUGAGUGUGGGAGAGGUGCGUGGAAUUCCCGGUGUAGCGGUGAAAAUGCGUAGAUAUCAGGAGGAACACCGGUGGCGAAGGCGGAUCUCUGGGCCGUAACUGACGCUGAGGAGCGAAAGCAUGGGGGAGCGAACAGG